rnacentral:rRNA from 1 species
UGGGAGCUUGCUCCCUGAGAUUAGCGGCGGACGGGUGAGUAACACGUGGGCAACCUGCCUAUAAGACUGGGAUAACUUCGGGAAACCGGAGCUAAUACCGGAUACGUUCUUUUCUCGCAUGAGAGAAGAUGGAAAGACGGUUUACGCUGUCACUUAUAGAUGGGCCCGCGGCGCAUUAGCUAGUUGGUGAGGUAAUGGCUCACCAAGGCGACGAUGCGUAGCCGACCUGAGAGGGUGAUCGGCCACACUGGGACUGAGACACGGCCCAGACUCCUACGGGAGGCAGCAGUAGGGAAUCUUCCGCAAUGGACGAAAGUCUGACGGAGCAACGCCGCGUGAACGAAGAAGGCCUUCGGGUCGUAAAGUUCUGUUGUUAGGGAAGAACAAGUACCAGAGUAACUGCUGGUACCUUGACGGUACCUAACCAGAAAGCCACGGCUAACUACGUGCCAGCAGCCGCGGUAAUACGUAGGUGGCAAGCGUUGUCCGGAAUUAUUGGGCGUAAAGCGCGCGCAGGUGGUUCCUUAAGUCUGAUGUGAAAGCCCACGGCUCAACCGUGGAGGGUCAUUGGAAACUGGGGAAC